rnacentral:rRNA from 1 species
AUUGAACGCUGGCGGUAGGCUUAACACAUGCAAGUCGUGCGAGAAAGUAUCUUCGGAUAUGAGUAGAGCGGCGGACGGGUGAGUAACGCGUAGGAAUCUACCUAGUAGAAGGGGAUAGCCCGGGGAAACCCGGAUUAAUACCGUAUACCUCCUUCGGGAGAAAGAAGGCCUCUCUUUGAAGCUUUCGCUAUUAGAUGAGCCUGCGUAAGAUUAGCUUGUUGGUGAGGUAAAGGCUCACCAAGGCGACGAUCUUUAGCUGGUCUGAGAGGACGAUCAGCCACAUUGGGACUGAGACACGGCCCAGACUCCUACGGGAGGCAGCAGUGGGGAAUAUUGGACAAUGGGCGCAAGCCUGAUCCAGCCAUACCGCGUGUGUGGAGAAGGCCUUCGGGUUGUAAAGCACUUUAAGCAGGGAGAAAAAGUUAUAAGUUAAUACCUUAUAACCGUGAUGUUACCUGCAGAAUAAGCACCGGCUAAUUCCGUG